rnacentral:rRNA from 1 species
AGUGAACGCUGGCGGUAGGCCUAACACAUGCAAGUCGAACGGCAGCACAGUAAGAGCUUGCUCUUACGGGUGGCGAGUGGCGGACGGGUGAGGACUACAUCGGAAUCUCCUUUUUCGUGGGGGAUAACGUAGGGUAACUUACGCUAAUACCGCAUACGACCUACGGGUGAAAGCAGGGGAUCUUCGGACCUUGCGCGAUUGAAUGAGCCGAUGUCGGAUUAGCUAGUUGGCGGGGUAAAGGCCCACCAAGGCGACGAUCCGUAGCUGGUCUGAGAGGAUGGUCAGCCAGACGGGAACUGAGACACGGUCCAGACUCCUACGGGAGGCAGCAGUGGGGAAUAUUGGACAAUGGGCGCAAGCCUGAUCCAGCCAUACCGCGUGGGGGAAGAAGGCCUUCGGGUUGUAGAGCCCUUUUGUUGGGAAAGAAAAGCAGCAGGUUAAUACCCCGCUGUUCUGACGGUACCCAAAGAAUAAGCACCGGCUAACUUCGUG